rnacentral:lncRNA from 1 species
CCCACCACCACAACAACCGCAGAGACGACGACGAAGAACAACACCCCAACUACCCUCCUCCACCAGGCAGCACCGGCAGCCCUUACUCCUCCUUCAACAACCCUUACCCACCACCACAACAACAACCACCCUUUUACGGCGAACCUCACCGUCCACCGCCACAACAACCACCCUUCUACGGCGAGCCUCACCGUCCACCACCAUCUCAGCCAGAAACCAACGUGUUCCACACAUCUCACGACGUCACAUAUGGACACGUGUCCCAUCCUCCUCAAUCUCAUCACCCU